AGUGAACGCUGGCGGCGUGCCUAAUACAUGCAAGUCGAACGGAGUGGCGCGCGGGCGAGUAAUGUAUAGCUAAUCUGCCCUACUCUAGAGGACAAUAGUUGGAAACGGCUGUUACUACUCUCUCGUGUAGGAUGAGGCUAUAUUGUAUCAGCUAGUUGGUGAGGUAAUGGCUCACCAAGGCUAUGACCCAUAUCUGGGCUGUGAGGAUGAUCAGUCACAUGGGAAGUGAGACACGGUCCGGGCUCCUACGGGAGGGAGCAGUACGGAAUAUUGCCCAAUGGGCGAGACCCUGAAGGAGCAACGCCGCGUGGAGUAUGACAGUUAUCGGAGCGGAAACUCAUUUUGUUAGGGAAGCGGUAACUAACGAAUAAGCACCGGCUAACUCCGUGCCAGCCGCCGCGGUAAUUC
rnacentral:rRNA from 1 species